UACGAAGGGGGCAAGCGUUGUUCGGAAUUACUGGGCGUAAAGGGCGCGCAGGCGGCCCUUGAAGUCAGGUGUGAAAGCCCCGGGCUCAACCUGGGAAUUGCACUUGAUACUCGAGGGCUUGAGUUCGGGAGAGGAGAGUGGAAUUCCCAGUGUAGAGGUGAAAUGCGUAGAGAUCGGGAGGAACACCAGUGGCGAAGGCGGCUACCUGGACCAGCACUGACACUGAGGCACGAAAGCGUGGGGAGCAAACAGG
rnacentral:rRNA from 1 species